GUCGACCGCCUGGGGAGUACGGCCGCAAGGUUAAAACUCAAAUGAAUUGACGGGGGCCCGCACAAGCGGUGGAGCAUGUGGUUUAAUUCGAUGCAACGCGAAGAACCUUACCUACUCUUGACAUCCACGGAAUUUAGCAGAGAUGCUUUAGUGCCUUCGGGAACCGUGAGACAGGUGCUGCAUGGCUGUCGUCAGCUCGUGUUGUGAAAUGUUGGGUUAAGUCCCGCAACGAGCGCAACCCUUAUCCUUUGUUGCCAGCGGGUUAUGCCGGGAACUCAAAGGAGACUGCCAGU
rnacentral:rRNA from 1 species